GAUGAACGCUGGCGGCGUGCCUAACACAUGCAAGUCGAACGAAGCGAUUUUUAUGAAGUUUUCGGAUGGAAUAGAGAUUGACUGAGUGGCGGACGGGUGAGUAACGCGUGGAUAACCUGCCUCACACUGGGGGAUAACAGUUAGAAAUGACUGCUAAUACCGCAUAAGCGCACGCUACCGCAUGGUAGAGUGUGAAAAACUCCGGUGGUGUGAGAUGGAUCCGCGUCUGAUUAGCCAGUUGGCGGGGUAACGCCCACCAAAGCGACGAUCAGUAGCCGACCUGAGAGGGUGACCGGCCACA
rnacentral:rRNA from 1 species